GGUGGCUCAAUGGUAGAGUGUUUGCCUUGCAUGCAUGAGGCCCUGGGUUCGAUUCCUCAGCACCA
rfam:Dipodomys ordii contig_4240, whole genome shotgun sequence.